rnacentral:rRNA from 1 species
CGUAGCCACGGUAAAACGGAGGGGGCUAGCGUUGUUCGGAAUUACUGGGCGUAAAGCGCACGUAGGCGGCUUUGUAAGUUAGAGGUGAAAGCCCGGAGCUCAACUCCGGAAUUGCCUUUAAGACUGCAGAGCUAGCAGGUGAGAGAGGUGAGUGGAAUUCCGAGUGUAGAGGUGAAAUUCGUAGAUAUUCGGAAGAACACCGGUGGCGAAGGCGGCGACCUGGUCCUUGACUGACGCUGAGGCGCGAAAGCGUGGGGAGCAAACAGGAUUAGAUACCCCCGUAGUCCCUGUCUCUUAUACA